rnacentral:ncRNA from 2 species
AUUUUCGUCCCCGUUAACGGUUUUCGAAUUCAUGUUCGGAAUUAAAAGGGAAUCCUGUUAAAAUCAGGAACAGUUCCCGCUGCUGUGAAUACUAGGUUUUAAUAUACUGUAAUUCAACACACUGUGAGAAUUACACUAAUACGAAAACCAUUUUUUGUUAUUCAAAUGUCACUGUUCGCCUAAGACGAAUGGGAAGGCCAACAAAAAAAGUAUAAGUCAGAAGACCUGCCGGUAUAACAUUCAUCAU